rnacentral:tRNA from 1 species
CGAGUAGGUGGCAAGCUGUAGCCUUGCCCACGGGGCCAAGCCCCCCCCAA